GAACAAAACAUAAAGAAAUCGAGAGAGUGCAAAAUCGAGAGUUUUCAAGAGAAAAGCCCCUGCUCUAAUGGCGACGCGUUCUCUGGCAGCCACCUCCGCCGUUCUCCUGCUGCGACCGCCCUCAGGCCUCCAUCUUUAGGUUUUGGCUAAUUGUUUCAAGGAACUACUACAUGGGUUCUCUUUUAUUUCUCGGAUUAUUACCUAAAAAGGUUAAUGCUAGUGAAGAUGAUACAAUUGCCGACUUGCAUCCAUUCACAAUGACACACUAGCUUGCAUGUCUAUCGGGCUCAAGUAUUUCUUCAAGACAUCAACAGCCAUUAGCUUAAGAAUAAAUCUAGCCUAUUGUAAAUAAGAAUACUCUGUUUGUAGUACUUGUGUCUUCAGGGAAAAACAUAUAUUCUUUA